CCUUAGAGUUUGAUCCUGGCUCAGGAUGAACGCUAGCUACAGGCUUAACACAUGCAAGUCGAGGGGAAACGACAUUGGAAGCUUGCUUCCGAUGGGCGUCGACCGGCGCACGGGUGAGUAACGCGUAUCCAACCUGCCCAUCACUUGGGGAUAACCUUGCGAAAGUAAGACUAAUACCCAAUGACGUCUCUAGAAGACAUCUGAAAGAGAUUAAAGAUUUAUCGGUGAUGGAUGGGGAUGCGUCUGAUUAGCUUGUUGGCGGGGUAACGGCCCACCAAGGCGACGAUCAGUAGGGGUUCUGAGAGGAAGGUCCCCCACAUUGGAACUGAGACACGGUCCAAACUCCUACGGGAGGCAGCAGUGAGGAAUAUUGGUCAAUGGGCGAGAGCCUGAACCAGCCAAGUAGCGUGCAGGAUGACGGCCCUAUGGGUUGUAAACUGCUUUUAUAAGGGAAUAAAGUGGGAGUCGUGACUCUUUUUGCAUGUACCUUAUGAAUAAGGACCGGCUAAUUCCGUGCCAGCAGCCGCGGUAAUACGGAAGGUCCGGGCGUUAUCCGGAUUUAUUGGGUUUAAAGGGAGCGUAGGCCGGAGAUUAAGCGUGUUGUGAAAUGUAGAUGCUCAACAUCUGCACUGCAGCGCGAACUGGUUUCCUUGAGUACGCACAAAGUGGGCGGAAUUCGUGGUGUAGCGGUGAAAUGCUUAGAUAUCACGAAGAACUCCGAUUGCGAAGGCAGCUCACUGGAGCGCAACUGACGCUGAAGCUCGAAAGUGCGGGUAUCGAACAGGAUUAGAUACCCUGGUAGUCCGCACGGUAAACGAUGGAUGCCCGCUGUUGGUCUGAAUAGGUCAGCGGCCAAGCGAAAGCAUUAAGCAUCCCACCUGGGGAGUACGCCGGCAACGGUG
rnacentral:rRNA from 1 species